rnacentral:lncRNA from 1 species
CUUUAUUCAUAACAGCCCAAACUGGAAACAAUCCAAAUGUUCAGCACCUAGUGAAUGGUAUAUCCAUAUAAUGGAUAAAUGCAUAUAAUGCAAUUAAAAAAAAACAUUAACUCAUACGACAAUGUGGAUGACACUUAACUACGUAACACAUGGUUCCAUUUAUAAGAAAGUCUAGAAAUGGCAAAACUAUAAGUGAUUACAGUGAUAUAGCAGAUAAGUGGUUGUGAGGGACCAGGAAUAGCGAGAGAGGUUUUACUAAAAGGAGCACAAGGGAACUUUUUAGGGUGAUAGAAAUAUUUUAUAUACCAUGACUGUGGUGAUGAUGGUUAUAUGACGGCAUACGUUUGUCAUAACUCGUCUAAUUGGUCCAUUUUAUUAUAUGUAAAUUAUACCUCAAUAAACGUGAUUAAAGAAAAAGAACAGGGGAAUAAACAUAUUUGCCCCUCAUAUUACCUGUCACUCACCAGAAUUUAUCAACACCUGACAGAAAAUAGCAAUAGGUAGGAAAGUAAAAAUGUGGAAAUCACUGGAAAGAGCAAGAAAUUGAUAAGAAUUAUGCAGUCAAGAUAAAAGCAAUGUCAUUCUUUACAUAUUUUAAUAUAUAAUAAUGUAAUACAUAAAUAUAUAUUUUAACCAUUCAAUAAUAAGAACAAUCUGAUUCUAAAAGAGACCUUCAUCAAUCCAAAAUAUCACCUGCUUUAUCAAAACAGUAUUUCUUAGAGUAGAUUCUAAGGGUUACCUAAAUCACAGGCAUCAACAUAUUUCUGGGCACCAUCCCAGACCUACUCCAUCCAUCACACACUCUUAGGUAAAAAUAAGACCCCAUUUUAAACUGUUUCCAGAUAAAUUAUUUUGCAAAUUUAGUCUCACAGAAUGACUUUAUUAGAAGUUCUAAUGUACACGUGUGUACUCACACAUAUAUAUCAACUGGGUUUGCAAUUAUGCCAGGUUGAUAGUAUUCAAUAGCACAUAUACUUUCCUUAUAGGAAAAUAGAGGUAUCUCCAUUUCAUGGAGACGUAGGGGGCUCAAAUGAGAUUAUCUAUAACAUAAGAUACACUCAAGGUUGUACUGUUCCCCAGUCAUCCUGGACUUGGAUAGGAACAUCAUUCUAAGCAGGUAAAAAAGACUUUUUGACCUUACCAAGCCUGAAGUCUCACAAUGCCAUACUGCCUCUCUUUUACCACUAUAUACUGCUUAGUAGCAGGUGACAACCACUUUAGUUAUUAAUUUUAGUUAAUAUUUAUAUUAUCACAAGAAUAUUUCCUUUAAAUAUGUGAUAUUUUAAAGUUAUGUGCUACAGCUGGGUGCGGUGGCUCACGUCUAUAAUCCCAGCACUUUGGGAGGCUG